rnacentral:rRNA from 1 species
AAUGUCUUGAAACCCAAAGAAUUUGGCGGUACUUUAUUCUUUUUAGAGGAACCUGUCCUGUAAUUGAUAUUCCACGAGGAUGAGUUACUUAUUUUAGUUUCCAUUUUGUAUACCUCCGUCAUAAGAGUAUCUUUUUAGAGUUAAUAUUCUAUAAAUACAUAAUAUAAGAUGUCAGGUCAAGGUGCAAUUUAUAGAUAAGUAGAGAUGGGUUACAAUAAAUUUAUUUAUAUGGAUUAAUAUUGUUAAUUAUAUUAUGAAGGUGGAUUUAAAAGUAAAAUUAAUUUCUUAUUAAUUUGAUUUUAGCUCUAAAGUAUGCACACAUCGCCCGUCGCUCUUAUUUUAAAAUAAGAUAAGUCGUAACAUAGUAGGAGUACCGGAAGGUGUUCCUAGU